CGGGCUGUAGCGCAGCUUGGCAGCGCGCCGCGUUUGGGUCGCGGAGGCCGGGAGUUCAAAUCUCCCCAGCCCGACCA
rnacentral:tRNA from 2 species